CUAUACGUGCAGCCAAAGAUCUCCUGCUAUUUUUUUUCCUUGUACACUUGACUGGCUUUGCUCUGGGCUUUCAGAGGUCUCUUAGGACACCCUGACGGGAGGCAUCACGUGCCAUGUGACCUUCUGACGCCAUCCGCUCAAACGUUGCCUGCCUGCGUACUGCUGAUGAGGCCCAAGAAGGCCGAAACAGCUGUCCAGUACUGGCAUGGCGACGUUUGACUUACGUAUGUAAUGUAUAUGGUUGUAUAUAUAAUGUGUAUGUUAUAUAUAUAUGGUUGUAUGUAAUGUAUAUCAGUAUGAGAAUGUAACGGAGUAUACGUUUGACUUACAAACAUAUAUAUAUAAAUAAAUAUAAUUACAUAAUUUGCGCACGCUUUCCCCCCAAAAAAGAUUCGGAAAAGUAGGGGGUUCACAAAUUGCGCGGGAACGUUCGUUACGAUAUUCAAACGACACAAAAUUUUAGAACCACUGUCAUAUAGGCUCUCGGUACGGUCGAUAUUGAUGUUAUCACUGCAUUGCACAAGCGCGAAAGGAGUACCCAAAUACCGCGCAGCCACUGACUGUCGGGACACAAAAUGCCGGCCCACUACCGCUCAUAUGCCGGGUAAAAACAUCGAGACGCUGCCGGAAGACUCUGCUAGUCGUUCUUGAGAGCCAAAAGCACACUAUGUUCGCCAGACUUAGACGCGCGUCAGAUAUCUGCGCGCGAAAGCGCGUGUGCGCAAAUUACGCGUUUUUUUGUUUUCUUGUCAUUUGUAGUGCUAAACUAUGCUCGCGAAAAUUAUACGAUGGUGCAAAAUAUGCGAGUAAAUACGGUAAGCUCACAUAAGAACAGACAGCCAGCUCACAAGUAAGGUACGGUCAAGUAAGGCAAACUCGAACCUCGUUAAUAUGACAGCCCCGCUUGAUGACCGUUAUUCCCGGGAACUGUUCCAUCCCAAUGGACUCCGCAUGUAACUCUUGUUCGUCAAUACGACAUUUCGUUUAUAUGACAGGUGUUUUCGGCAACAACCAGUGUCGAACACGUGUAUUUUACCCUCAUUGCUACGACCUCUGGUCUCUGAAACGGCGGUUCUCCUGACUUAUAUAUUGGUCAAAAUACGGGCAUGCUUUUGGGGUGACUCACGAUAGUGAUGUCCUUGUCUGAUGUGGUUAAAAGAGCAGUGCCCUCGGUCACAUGGUCAUAGCGAUCUGCUGUAGUCAUAUGGCAUUCAUCGAUCAUGUCUGAGAAGAAGCGCAAACGAACAGAGCUGAAUUCCGGAAUGGAGAAGCGGAUACACGUCAGACUGAGAAUUACACUAAGCAAAUGUCUUUGUCAGACUUUUAUAAAAAGUGUUAUUCAUUCUUUUAAAAUGCCUCAAAUUCGUAUUCUGUUACCAGCUGACGUAAUUUUCUACGUUUCAAAGCUUACGUAUACAGCAUGGUAAGAUUUGUAACACGUGGUAUUCGUUAAUAGGACAAUUUGCUUUAUGACCAAUAUCCACCGGAACGGCCACGGUCGUAUUAACGAUUUUCGACUGUACCUGUUACAUGAUCUCUACUCAUCCGAUCUCAGUUUGUUGCAGGUCACAAUUCAAUUCAGUUGAAUACCGCUAACCAAUUUUCGGACGAAAAUCCAGCAUCGCCACAAAUCUCGAUGCUACGGUAGCCAAAAAAACAACACACAUUACCUCACAAGCUGUGCGUAUCUGUGUGGUGAGUGUGCAAGAGAAGGGCAUGGGUCAGUUGGUCUCUCAUCUUCCUUGCCUUCCUGAGUGUUUGCCUGCGUUUUUCCCAGGGCUCUUCGGGUAGGCACAGGACCCUGUGAGCCACUCGGACUAAGUUUCGCAGUAUGCACGCCCUUGAGCGUGUGCACAAUGCUAGAGCUCCCGCAAGCACAACUGGAGGUUGUGCACGUCCCAGGACGAACUGCACCAGCCCGAGUUCGGUCAGUGGCCGCUCUCUGUACACGCUGCUCUCGCUCCUCCUAGCAGAGAAAAGAGAGAUACAGGAAUAGCGUGUUACGCUUAGAGAUGCGAAGCCCCGAAAAAAAAAAAGAGGAAAUUUUUUGGGGAAAAAAAUCUUUUUUUUCGGUUCCUCGUCUCCGGAAAAAUAGCCCAAAAUUUCCAGGCGACAUAAUUCAAGAAUGUACAUUUGCGUGCCUUUGAUGCGUUCCAACCCGCCAACAGUGUCUUAGGUGCCUCUAAUCCGUCAACAACCGCCGACUUAGAGCUCCGUCUGGCCGCUCCAAGCGAUCGCCAUCGCGUUCACAUAAUGUCGGAGUUCUGGUCGGAGUGGUCGGGUUGUUCUAAUUACCUAUCGCUGAGUAGACAGCAGUCUCACGGGAUGCUCUGCUCUGCAUUUAUGCCUAGAGGAUGAACACUGCUAAAGCUUCUAGCUCAAUUGUACGCUGUGGCGUGGCCGGCAAUGCUUCGACUCAGCAGUAACCACGUUUGUUUCCAUUUUUUCCAAUUUUUCGGAAAACCCCCCCGAAAGAAACCUUUUUUCUUUCAAGAGAUUCAAAAUUUCCGGAAAUUUUGCAUCUCUAGUUAUGCUCUGUAAUGUCCUUUGUGCUAUGGUACAUUGUCAUAAAGCGCCACUCCGGACUCCGAAAAAGGCGUUUAUUUUUUUAGUCCAUGAAAAGAAGGUGCCUUAAGGAUUCUAUACACGAAAUUUCAAUCCUGUUUACUAACAGUGUGCAUUUCUGUCAAUUUCUGAAGAUCUGCCGAGCCUCCACAAGUUUUGAUGGUGCGACGAGCGAGUGACAUGAUCAUAAACCUACAAAUUGCAAUAAUGUCAUGUUCUGGAGAGGGCACUUGUUUCCUAACGACGACCCCGGCAUCCGGAAAGGGUGAUGUGGUGGAGAAGUCAUGUGAGGUGGAUCGAAAGAGGGGAAAAUUGGAAGAUGGGAAGAUGUCUUCUUUCUCCCUCCUUUGUGUUUUCUCGAAGGUCGGAGCGGUCGGAUGAUAUGUCACGUGGGACUCCGCUAACGGAGAAGACGCGAUGGGCAACGAUGUUGCCAGAUGAAAGCCGGGCGCUCAACUGGAGUCUCCAUUGGAGUUAGCAAAAAGGUACGGAUACUUUCCACACCAGGUGGCCAAUACUUUCUCGAAUUGGGUCGGUGAUUUUUGCGUUUGGGUUUGCCAUCGGGUUGGGCACAGCCAGCUCAAAGUUCAGCUGGACAACCGGUGUAGGCUACAUGGACACGAUUUUUGUACACUGAAACCGCGCUGACACACGACGUUGCGUUGCACGGGCACGGCUGGCUGAAAUCACCAUUAAUCAUAGAUAGACCCUGAAGUUUUAGAGGUAAACCCGAUUUUUCCCCGAAUUUGCACCCCGAAUCAAGGUUCACCGGUUUCGGGUUAAACCCGAUUUCUACCCGCAAAACUGCACAUAAGUUAGGCACGUCACGGCAAUGACAUACUAAUUUUUCACAAAAUACACGGUUGAUCUCAACGUCUGAUACUCUGGACAGGCUGUACAAUGAACGUUUGUUCGACAAUAGAGCCCGAUUUAUCCCCAAAUUCAGUCUGGUGGUAAUUUUUCCACCCGAAUUUGGAAAAAAAUAAAACCCGAAAACUUCAGGGUCCAAUCAUAGAAAAGUACGUACUUGGGUCACAAGAUGUUCUCCAAUGUGUGCUUCCAUUCUAAUGCUCUCGCACACGCACAUGCACACACACACACACAAAAAGCAUUGAAAAGAGCAAAUAAAAAACGGAAAUAUCACAGUUACCUCUAUUGUAUCCGGCUGUAAUUAUUACCAAAUCUGACUUUGUAAUCCAAAUCUAAAAUUUGAGCAAAUCUUUUGCAGCUGCUCAAAAGCCAGCCAAACAGAAAUCUUUACUCGAACAAAAAACUGUAUUGUGAAGAUUCUUACCUAUGGGCAGGAAAGAAGAUGAUGGUUGGAUACCGCUCCAUAGUGAACUCCCAAGGAAGGUCAUUCUUGGAGGCAUCUAUUCUGCACGUAAAAAAAGUUUGCAUCAGUCUGGCUGCACUAUGCUGGAAGGCACCAGAGGGGGUAACUGCUGGCACGCACCUUGCGAAGAGUAUGUCCCAAGUGCCAGCGAAUGCCCUGGCUGCUGCUUCAAAGAAGUGCACUGCGGUUUUACAGAAACCACACCAGGAUGCACAGAAGAGAACGAAAAGGUCCUGAAACAUAGGCUCGUAUGUGACUACGGCCACAAGCGGUCCAGAUAACAAGUGCAAUGUAAGGGGAUGGUGAUGAUGAUAAUUGGAGGUUUUUGGCGCAAAUUGACGUAAGGGGAUGGAAAAACAAGUAGUGUAUAAAUAGCUGAUUUUGCGAUCUUAAUAACCGGCAAAUUUGGAUGGGGGCAGAAUAUUUUGUGGUACGUUCGUCAUGCGAUACGCAGUUCAUAGGGACAUCACUAGGGUUCUUCUCAGGUUAAACCUGAUUUUUCAUCCCCCCCCCCCUCUCCGAAUAAGUUUUCAAGGGUUCAGGUAAAACCCCAUAUCUACCCGAAAUCCUUGUGGUCCUUCAACAUGUCGUUCUAGGUAAACCGUCGGAAAAGUGAAUCGUAAUAUCAGCGAAGAGAGCUAUUCGUGACAACCUGUUUUGUCUUCCUUUUAUAAUCCCCUCCUGCAGGAGUCAAAGACAAGCUUUUGUGGAGCUCAGCCUCAGAACAUCAGUUCUUUCAUGGGUUAGGUUGUUUGUUUAGCCAACCGAUGACCUCACAGUUGACAGCUCUACUCUUUACAAUGAGCAUCAGCCGUGGCAACCUGGUCCUGCAAUCUCGAUGCUAAUCCCAAUAUUGACAAUCAAAUGUCGAGCGCGGUCCAAUACCAAGGUUCUCAGCGGGCGAGACUUGGACGAAGUUCGUGGAACCUCGGUUGAGGACAACGGCUCAACAGCGUGCAUAAACAUCUACCUGUGACACGUCUUUCGUUAGUAGAUGUUGAAGUGCAACGCCGUUCAACUUGCACACGGGGGCACCUCUUGAACAACUUGGCAGGUCCUCCGAGCGCAGGUGCCUCCGCAGGGAUCUGGAUGUAAAGUCCAGAACAAACUGCUGCAGGGAUGCGCGACUCACGGGACUCUCCAGCACGUACUCCUCUUCCUUCUGUAACCCGAGCAAAGAGAAAUACGAGAGAAAAGAAAAAUUAUGGAAACAGAAAGAAAAAGGAAAAUACCAUAAGGAAAGCCACUCAAACUUUAAUAUGCAGAGAUAACGACUGAUGAAUUUGGCUUCCGUUCAUCAUUUGAUUAUUACUGCAUGCCAUUAACUAAACUCCACAUACAUAGAUCUUGUGUAUGAUUGUUAACCCUGAUUAAACCUGUUUUUAAAUGA